AGAGAAAAGCUGAUUUUGGGGUAAAUGGGGGUUUUCAGAGAAAAGGCGAGAUUUUUGAGUUAAAUGGGGGAUUUUGCAAGAGAAAAUGGGUGAUUUUGGGGUUAAAUGGGGGAUUCUCGAAAAACAUAAAUAUGAGA
rnacentral:lncRNA from 7 species